rnacentral:rRNA from 1 species
UACGUAGGGAGCAAGCGUUGUUCGGAUUUACUGGGCGUAAAGGGCGCGUAGGCGGCAAAUUAAGUCAGCUGUGAAAUCUCCGAGCUUAACUCGGAACGGUCAGCUGAUACUGAUCUGCUAGAGUGCGGAAGGGGCAAUCGGAAUUCUUGGUGUAGCGGUGAAAUGCGUAGAUAUCGGGAGGAACACCGGUGGCGAAGGCGGUUCUCUGGGCCUUACCUGACGCUGAGGAGCGAAAGCGUGGGGAGCGAACAGG